AACGCACAUUGCGCCCGCCAGCAUUCUGGCGGGCAUGCCUGUCCGAGCGUCAUUUCCACCCUCAGGCCCUGCCUGGUGUUGGGGACCUGCAGCUGCUGCAGCCCCCCAAAGACAACGGCGUGCCUGCCGGGCCCCGAGCGUAGUAACACACCUCGCCUGGGAAGCCCUGCAGCGCCCUGCCGCAAGCCUAUAACUCUCAAGGUUGACCUCGGAUCAGGUAGGAAUACCCGCUGAACUUAA
rnacentral:misc_RNA from 1 species